UCCGGUUUGUCACCGGCAGUCUGGCGUGAGUCCCCAACUUAAUGCUGGCAACACGCCACGGGGGUUGCGCUCGUUGCGGGACUUAACCCAACAUCUCACGACACGAGCUGACGACAGCCAUGCAGCACCUGUGUAGGGCCCCGAAGGACACCAUAUCUCUAUGGCUUUUCCCUACAUGUCAAACCCAGGUAAGGUUCUUCGCGUUGCAUCGAAUUAAUCCACAUAAUCCACCGCUUGUGCGGGUCCCCGUCAAUUCCUUUGAGUUUUAACCUUGCGGCCGUACUCCCCAGGCGGAGUGCUUAAUGCGUUAGCUACGGCACGGAUCCCGUGGAAGGAAACCCACACCUAGCGCCCACCGUUUACGGCGUGGACUAC
rnacentral:misc_RNA from 1 species